rnacentral:rRNA from 1 species
GUGUCAGCAGCCGCGGUAAGACGAGCUCUCCAAACGUUAUUCGGUAUCACUGGGCUUAAAGAGUUCGUAGGCGGUCUGGUAGGUGAGGUGUGAAAUCCCCCGGCUCAACCGGGGAACUGCGCUUCAAACCGCCGGACUUGAGGGAGACAGAGGUGGGCGGAACAGAUGGUGGAGCGGUGAAAUGCGUUGAUAUCAUCUGGAACACCGGUGGCGAAAGCGGCCCACUGGGUCUCAUCUGACGCUGAGGAACGAAAGCUAGGGUAGCGAACGGGAUUAGAUACCCCGGUAGUCC